GGAAGGGUGGCCGAGUGGUUUAAGGCAGCGGUCUUGAAAACCGCCGUGGGUGCAAGUCCACCGUGGGUUCGAAUCCCACCCCUUCCGCCA
rnacentral:tRNA from 1 species